CGAAAGGAAAGCGAUUAUUUCCUGUACGUGGCACUAAAACGCCAAAAAGGUUUUAAAUAACACUCGUUUUUUUUCUCGUUAAGGAAAAUAAAUGGAUAAAAUCGUAUUGAAAAAUAAACCUAAACUCAUCGACUGGCUAAGUGGGGAUCACAUCGGCAUUUUGCAACAUGUUCAAUCUCGAGAGUUUAUAACAGAUGCUGAGUACGAUAUGCUGAAGUACAUUUCAGUUCCUAGAAAGCAGGUUAUUGAACUAAUGGACAUCAUUUUAGGAAAGGGAGAAAAGGUGUGUCGAGAAUUUCUGAAAAUGCUGAAGGAAGAUGAUGUGAACGAAUUUUCUCCACAACUCAGGGACUGGAUUAAAACAGUGAACAAUUCAGACACCACAGACAACGCGGCACAAACAACACCACGCGCUCAAGUAACAAGUCAUAUCUCUGCGUCUGGUGGCACACACUGUAUUUGCACCUACCAUAGCAUUUAAUAGAGGCAACUUUAACAUGAAUGUACUUCCAAACAAUACAAACAGGCCAAAAGAAUAAAGAUUGUGAAGGAGGAGCAUCUGAUAACAGGCCAAUAGAUUGUGAGGAGUUUCUGAAGAAGAAGAUGAGUCCCUUGGUUCAAGGAGUGAAGCAUAUUGACCUUAUUGUUGAUGAUCUUGGUUUACACCCUGAAUCAGUUGCAAAUAUUAGAGCACAGGCAACAGAUCAAAACAAGAUGAGGAAGCUGCUUGACUAUAUUAAUUCUAAAACCAUCGCUGAGCGUCUUGUUGAUGCUUUGUUUAGGCAUGAAAGUGAUCUCAUGAAUGAUCUACUCAGAUGAAAGUUGUGGGAUGUUUACUGAUUAACAAUGUAUUUUUUUUAACCAAAUAUCUGACCGAGUCAAAUGUGGCAUUAUGCAAAACAGCUUAAAGCCAAAACCGUCUCAGGCUUUUAAAAAAUAUGUGAUUGGAAUGUUUACAAAUUUAGUUUUAACUCCUGGUGUUUAUAUAAUGCACUUUUUAUGCUAAUAUUACCCAUUGGGGCGGUUUCAUAGACGGGGAUUAGUUUAGGUCAGGACUAUAGGCUUUAGGUAAAUUAAUUUAAGUAGCCUACUUUUUACAAACAUGCUUUACAAAAGAUUACUUGUGGGCAUUUUGAGACUAAAUAAUGCAUAUUUUAAGAUAUGUCAGCGCAAGCCAUUCCAUUGUGUUUAUUGACAACUGUUUUGUUAUGAAAAUAAAGUUUCGGGUUUUUG